UGGGGAAUAUUGCACAAUGGGCGAAAGCCUGAUGCAGCAACGCCGCGUGAGUGAUGAAGGCCUUCGGGUUGUAAAGCUCUGUCUUUUGGGACGAUAAUGACGGUACCAAAGGAGGAAGCCACGGCUAACUACGUGCCAGCAGCCGCGGUAAUACGUAGGUGGCAAGCGUUGUCCGGAUUUACUGAGCGUAAAGGAUGCGUAGGCGGAUUUUUAAGUGAGAUGUGAAAUACCCGGGCUUAACUUGGGUGCUGCAUUUCAAACUGGGAAUCUAGAGUGCGGGAGAGGAGAAUGGAAUUCCUAGUGUAGCGGUGAAAUGCGUAGAGAUUAGGAAGAACACCAGUGGCGAAGGCGAUUCUCUGGACCGUAACUGACGCUGAGGCAUGAAAGCGUGGGUAGCAAACAGGAUUAGAUACCCUGGUAGUCCACGCCGUAAACGAUGAGUACUAGGUGUAGGAGGUAUCGACCCCUUCUGUGCCGCAGUUAACACAAUAAGUACUCCGCCUGGGAAGUACGAUCGCAAGAUUAAAACUCAAAUGAAUUGACGGGGUCAUAGCUGUUUUCCU
rnacentral:rRNA from 1 species